rnacentral:tRNA from 1 species
AAAGGUAUAGCUCAGUCAUAGAGUAUGUGUUUAACAUGCACAAGGUCCUGGGUUCAAUCCCCAGUACCUCCA